CCCACAGCUGUGUCCGGAAGCAGCAAGCGUGCCUGGGCAGAGACCCCCAGAGUGUAAAGAGGUCCUGGGACAGGCUUUGCACGUUCCACAAGAGGGACUUCCUCUGCCCCCAGCUUCCUGAUUCUUUAUAACUCUGACCAUCGCAGAGCACAACGUUACAGCGAGACAGGGCGUGAUGGAUCCCCAGCAGCCCAGAGAUACUCAGUGAAGUCACAUACCCGGAGGAGAAAAAGACCAAAGACCAAAGAGGCCAAAGACCUCAAGCAGGGCCUGUAGGACCCAAAGUACUGGCAGGUGCCAGAGCCACUCCUCCCCACAUCCAGAGGCCGACUCCCCUGUUCUCUGCUUCCUUCGCCCUCCCCUUGCCAACCUGCUUCAACACAGAAUCCUGCAGGACCUCCUCCUUUGCCAUAUGCUCCUUCAGCAGUUCUGUCUGCACAAUCCCUGGCCACAGAGACACACAGCUGACCCCAUGGCGCCGCAGCUCGUGGGCACAGUCAGCAGCCAGCUUGUCACACUGUGGAGAGGCGGAAGGCAGGGAGCCCCAAGGUCUCAGCUGCCCACGCUCCACAGUGUGAUGCCUACUCUAGCCAACCGAGAGGAGCACAAGCAAAGGAACUGUCCAUGGAUGAGGCAGAGGAGGAGCUGAGAGGAGCCAGCCUUACCAUUCUGACCACUGGGGAUUGUACCUCCUGAGCUAUAGUGUCUCCCUGUGUCGUCUAGACUGGAGUGCAGUGGUGUGAUCAUGGCUCAACUCCUAGGCUCAAGCGAUUCUCCUGCCUCAGCCUCCGGAGUAGCUGCUGGGACUGCAGGAACGUGCCACCAUGGCUGGCUCAAACACAAAGUUUUUUCAUAAAACUCACUUGGCGGCAAAAUUCUACCUUACCUGAAGUUAUUUACGGGGUUUUUAAUUUCCACUUUGAAUAAAUAUUCACAUCUUG